AACUGAUACUACCUGCGGGAACCUGCGGAGGGAUCAUUGCUGAAUACCACUUGAUAGGUUGUAGCUGGCUCUUUGGAGUAUGUGCACGCCUGUCUUGGACUCUAUUCAUCCACCUGUGCACUAUUUGUAGUCUUUGGAGACUGAGAUUGGGAACAGUUGACAAGUCGGUUGACAAGCCGGAAUAGAGGAUUGCUGCUGUACAAGAAGCUCUCCUUCAUCCACUGUGAACGCUCACUCCAG
rnacentral:misc_RNA from 1 species